GUGCCAGCAGCCGCGGUAAUACGUAGGGUGCGAGCGUUAAUCGGAAUUACUGGGCGUAAAGCGUGCGCAGGCGGUUGCAUAAGACAGAUGUGAAAUCCCCGGGCUCAACCUGGGAACUGCGUUUGUGACUGUGCGACUGGAGUACGGUAGAGGGGGGUGGAAUUCCUGGUGUAGCAGUGAAAUGCGUAGAUAUCAGGAGGAACAUCGAUGGCGAAGGCAGCCCCCUGGACCUGUACUGACGCUCAUGCACGAAAGCGUGGGGAGCAAACAGGAUUAGAUACCCCGGUAGUCC
rnacentral:rRNA from 1 species